CAUUCCUUAAUGUUUUUCUCUUUCGACAUUACAAUUGUUAUGAUUAGAUUUAAGACACCAGUAAUAAGGAAAUAAAAAUGGAUGCUCUGGUGAAAGAUAUUCAAGCUAUCAUUGUUCUCCCAUCUUCAAGAGAUGAGGUGCAUCGUGUCUUCUGGAUUCCGGAGAGAUGUAUCCAGGGGGAUACAGAUAUACUUAACAUUCAUUUCGCAGGUUUUAAUUCUUAUAUAAAC